rnacentral:rRNA from 1 species
AUUGAACGCUGGCGGCAGGCCUAACACAUGCAAGUCGAACGGUAGCACAGAGAGCUUGCUCUUGGGUGACGAGUGGCGGACGGGUGAGUAAUGUCUGGGAAACUGCCUGAUGGCGGGGGAUAACUACUGGAAACGGUAGCUAAUACCGCAUAAUGUCGAAAGACCAAAGAGGGGGACCUUCGGGCCUCUUGCCAUCAGAUGUGCCCAGAUGGGAUUAGCUAGUAGGUGGGGUAAUGGCUCACCUAGGCGACGAUCCCUAGCUGGUCUGAGAGGAUGACCAGCCACACUGGAACUGAGACACGGUCCAGACUCCUACGGGAGGCAGCAGUGGGGAAUAUUGCACAAUGGGCGCAAGCCUGAUGCAGCCAUGCCGCGUGUAUGAAGAAGGCCUUCGGGUUGUAAAGUACUUUCAGCGAGGAGGAAGGCAUCAAGGUUAAUAACCUUGGUGAUUGACGUUACUCGCAGAAGAAGCACCGGCUAACUCCGUGCCAGCCGCCGCAGUAACAC